UACAGAGGGUGCAAACGUUGUUCGGAAUUACUGGGCGUAAAGCGUGUGUAGGCGGCUUUGCAAGUCGGAUGUGAAAUCCCCGGGCUCAACCCGGGAAGUGCACCCGAAACUGCAGGGCUCGAGUACCGGAGAGGUUGGCGGAAUUCUCGGUGUAGAGGUGAAAUUCGUAGAUAUCAGGAGGAACACCGGUGGCGAAGGCGGCUCUCUGGACUGUAACUGACGCUGAGACGCGAAAGCUAGGGGAGCAAACAGG
rnacentral:rRNA from 1 species